rnacentral:rRNA from 1 species
AUUGAACGCUGGCGGCAGGCCUAACACAUGCAAGUCGAGCGAGCGGCGGACGGGUGAGUAAUGUCUGGGAAACUGCCUGAUGGAGGGGGAUAACUACUGGAAACGGUAGCUAAUACCGCAUACCAUCAGAUGUGCCAAUAUGGGAUUAGCUAGUAGUUGGGGUAACGCCUCACCUAGGCGACGAUCCCUAGCUUGUCUGAGAGGAUGACCAGCCACACGGGAACUGAGACACGGUCCAGACUCCUACGGGAGGAAGCAGUGGGGAAUAUGGCAAAAUGGGCGCAAGCCUGAUGCAGCCAUGCCGCGUGUGGGAAGAAGGCCUUCGGGUGGUAAAGCACUUUCAGCGGGGAGGCGUUACCCGCAGAAGAAGCACCGGCUAACGCCGUGCCAGCCGCCGCGGUAAUUC